rnacentral:rRNA from 1 species
CCUACGGAGUGCAGCAGUGAGGAAUAUUGGUCAAUGGCCGGAAGGCUGAACCAGCCAAGCCGCGUGAAGGACGAAGGUGCCAAGCAUUGUCAACUUCUUUUGUCAAGGGACACAAUCAGGCUCGCGAGCCUGACCGAGGGUACUUGAAGAACAAGCAUCGGCUAACUCCGUGCCAUCAGCAGCGGUAAUACGGAGGAUGCGAGCGUUAUCCGUAUUUAUUGGUGUUAAUGGGUGCGUUGGCGGACUUUUAAGUCCGAGGUAAAAGCCCGUGGCGCAACCCCGGCGAGGCGUGGAAACUGGCUGUCUUGUGAUGGCGAGAGGUAUGCGGAAUGCGCAGUGUAGCGGGGAAAUGCUUUGAUAUUGCGCAGAACUCCGAUUGCGAAGGCAGCAUACCGGAGGCGAUCUGACGCUGAGGCACGAAAGCGUGGGUAUCGAACAGGAUUAGAUACCCCAGUAGUC